GGUCUAGGUUUUCCGGGAUGAUGUUGUUGAUGUGAGCCAUGACCAGCCUUUCAAAGCACUUCAUGGCUACCGACGAGGCCUGGAGGGGCAUGCUGGAACUUCCAGAGUCUUGUGGACCUGAAGCAGUGUUAUUUGGUCCAGAUCUGACACCCCAAUCAGCUCAACCACAGCCCUCAUAGCUGCAGUUGUCUGCCCCCGCACCUGCUACAUUGGCCGCGACAGGUGAUACAGAUCUGCGACCCCCAGCAGUUCAGCUGCAGUCACAGCAGUCCUCUGCUGUGGUAUUUCAUUUACCGGUUGCACCAGUUCCUGCUACACUGGCCGUGAAGGGAGAAACUUUUGAGGAUUCCCAUAUGGAUAGAGAUCUGCCAUGCACUCCACCACUGCCCCUGACAGCCUCACCCAGAAGUGCAUGCACCUGGCCUAUCAAGACUGACAAGGCAUAGAUGGGUGGCUGACAAGGAAAAAUAAAACACAACAUGCACACACACUCUCUCUCUCUAUCUGUUUUAGGAUUGGAGAUAUCUAUGCCUACCUAAUCCAUUAUACAUGUCUACAUGAUUACUCUAUUACUCUAAAUAUCUAUCAAAGUGUGAUUGAUAAUAUUGUAAUACAGUAUUGCUUAAUGUGUACAGUUUGAGGAAAUUCUGUUUGCUUUUUUCCUGAGUUAGAAAAAUGCCCCCCCCCCCUCUCUCUCUCUCUCACACACACACUAGACCCAAUGUAAAUAAAUAUAAUAACUUGUUUAUUUUAUGUAUGCUCCAUUUUAUUUGAAGAUUGUGUGCAAUAAAGUACAUUCAAAGUUAAA